CAAAAGAGGGGGAUAGCCCGGGGAAACUCGGAUUAAUACCGCGUAUGAUCCUUCAGGACAUCCUGAAGCGAUCGAGGGUGGCCUUUGUGCUGCCGCUUUUGGAUGGGCUCGCGGCCUAUCAGCUUGUUGGUGAGGUAACGGCUCACCAAGGCGACGACGGGUAGNUGGUCUGAGAGGAUGAUCAGUCACACUGGAACUGAGACACGGUCCAGACACCUACGGGUGGCAGCAGUCGAGAAUCAUUCGCAAUGGGCGAAAGCCUGACGGUGCGACGCCGCGUGGAGGAUGACGGCCCUAGGGUUGUAAACUCCUGUCAUCAGAGAGUAAUGCCUCAAGUAGUAACUGGCUUGAGGAGUGAUAGUAUCUGAAGAGGAAGGGACGGCUAACUUCGUGCCAGCAGCCGCGGUAAUACGAAGGUCCCAAGCGUUGUUCGGAUUUACUGGGCGUAAAGCGUCUGUAGGCGGUGGGGUAAGUCAGAUGUGAAAUCCCGAGGCUCAACCUCGGAACUGCAUCCGAUACUGCUUCACUAGAGUACUGGAGGGGCAUCUGGAAUUCACGGUGUAGCAGUGAAAUGCGUAGAUAUCGUGAGGAACACUAGUGGCGAAGGCGAGAUGCUGGACAGUAACUGACGCUGAGAGACGAAGGCCAGGGUAGCGAAAAGGAUUAGAUACCCUUGUAGUCCUGGCAGUAAACGGUGCACGCUUGGUGUGGGAGGAUUCGACCCCUUCCGUGCCGGAGCUAACGCGUUAAGCGUGCCGCCUGGGGAGUACGGCCGCAAGGCUAAAACUCAAAGGAAUUGANUAG
rnacentral:rRNA from 1 species